CCCACCUGGAUAUCCAAACAGAUCAGUUUAUCACUGAGAUGAUAUUGGAGGACAUUUUCAAAUAAAUCCCCCAAACUGGUGACUCUGACUGCAGAAUAACAGGUGCUAAAUAGGCCUCCUGUGGGCUUUUUCUCCCAUCUUACCUACUGAUAGUACAAAUGCGCCUCUGAUUUAGCCACUCUGACACAACUCUAACCAGUGUGAAUGUGGGAUAAUAUGGAAAUGAGGGUAAAAGCAUCGUAUCCUGACAGGGCUGCAGACAGAACAGGCAGACUGAGAGAGAAAAGAGUGGAACGGUACAAGUACAACCAAAGUACAAGCAGCUGAAUCUAAUUACAUCUCUGCUUUUGUGGCACAUACGGACACGAAUCUGAGCGAGACUUCUGUUGGGAAUCGACAUUAGCAUCCACAGCAAUUACAUGGAAAAGCCAAUCAGCUGAAGUAACGCUUUAUGUGGGACAUUUCUUAAAGUAUUGAUGCUGUAAAAUGAAUUUUGGGGGCAAAACAGAGCGACAAACACAAACGUGUACGUGCAUGUGUAAUAUUUAUUAUGCAAACAUACCAACGUACUUAAAUCUAAGUAUGUUGUGCAUGCACACGCACACACAGCAUUGCUAAAGGUCUUCUCCUGCCAGGUGGCAUAUACUGCAUCAUUCAUUAAUCUGUGCACUUUGCCAGCUGCUCCACUAUUUGAGUGACUGGCGACAUCAGCUUGGCGUGCGUUUGUUUGUGCUGGCAGCGCUAAAGCAGGUACAGCGCCGGGCCGCAGAGAGAGAGCGAAAGAGAGUUGGAGAGUUUGUGCUGGCAGAGCUCGCAGACAAUAAAGCGGUCCGACCGCGGAAAACUACAAUUCCCAUGGUGCCUCGCUUUGGCAGGGCAAUCACAGCAAUCACUGCAGCAGCAGGGUGUGUGUGUGUGUUAUAACCUGCAGGGUUUUGGUGUAUGGAGUGUGAAAGUGGAAUGUGAAGGCUGUUGGACCGAGAACAGUAACGGAGAGCAGCUCGACAAAACGCUUAUAUGGAGAGAGGCUUUUUAACGAACUGUCCUUGGCUGUCUGCGCCGAGAGAGAAAGGCUGCCUCUGUUCUCCGUGUCGGAAACAGAACUCGGAGACGGCUUGCAUUAUGGCGAGCUGGAUAAAGCAAAAGGAGGGGAGUCGUCUAUGGAGGGGGGCAAUGACAGAGAAAGAAUAAGGGAAAGUGAAGCAGUCUCCACCAAGCGUGACGUUAUAAGGAAAAGGCUAAAAUGAGCAUUUGAGGACAGAGGAGUGAUCUGGCCUCAGCGCAGGGCAGAGACGAUGGCAACGCUCCUAUUUUAACAGCUGCAAGGGAUUUCCAUUGUAAAAUCAGCUGACUUGAUGAAAGGAGCACUUGUUGCCUGGAGUUGGAAUCGGAUGGCUGACCGUCUCUGUAACCCAUUAUGUUACUGGAGGGCCAGAUUAAAGGCAGUUAUGUCGCUGAAACUAUUUAUCUUUCACGUCCAGGUUCAGCGUCUAGUGCUCAUCAGGAGCGAGGAAUUCCUGCAAGGCAUUGUGGGAUGCAUGGCUCUCUGCAGCCAGCAUCUGCAGGCCAGACAGGGGCGAGUCUGCAGCAGCAGGAGCUUCGAUUCACGUUUUGCUCUCUCUCCACGUAUGCACGCGACAGUCUUUACCCUCGUCUCCUCUUUUCCUCUCUUGGCUCACGUCCUUCUCACCUUCAUCUCACCUGUACUGCCCUUUUAUUCGAUCCUAAUAUCACAAUUCUACGCGCUCAAGACACAAACCGCAGUCCAACUGUUUAAGCAGUGAAACAAGGAGAGCAGGACUGACAUCUCAUGGAAAACUUUCCUUUAAGCCACAUUUUUAAAGGAGAGCAUUGUGUAAAGAUGUGGAUGGACUGAUCUUUUAGCACCAAAUCACAAUGGCUCUGGCCUCGACGUGCUUUGUGAAGUAGACACAAUAACACAGAGAAAACCCCAGAAGUCAGAUGCUGCCCCCCCUUUGAGCAAGCACUCGGCGACAGUGGGAAGGAAGAACUCUGUGUUAA